UUCGAUCAUAGCUCAGAUUGAACGCUGGCGGGAUGCUUUACUACAUGCCGUCAGACAGCGGCACAGACUUCGGUCUGGUGGCGAGUGGCGAACGGGUGAGUAAUGUAUCGGAACGUGCCUAGUAGCGGGGGAUAACUACGCAGCGUAUGCGUGGCCUGCCUUACGCCUUCGGGGGAAAGCGGGGGACCUUCGGGCCUCCGCGCACUAUUAGAGCGAGCCGAUAUCGGAUUAGCUAGUUGGUGGGGUAACGGCUCCCUGCAAGGCGACGAUCGUAGCUGGUUUGAAGGACGACCAGCCGCUGGGACUGAGACGGCCCAGACUCCUACGGGAAGGCAGCAGUGAAAUUUUGGACAAUGGGGAAACCCUGAUCCAGCCAUCCCGCGUGUGCGAUGAGCCUUCGGGUUGUAAAACUUGCACAGCGGGAAAGAAACAGCCACAGGAUAUUACCCGACACAACUGACCCAGUACCUGCAGAAUGCUUCCGGCUAACUACGUGCCAGCAGCCGCGAUAGCCGUAGGGUGCAAGCGUUAAUCGGAAUUACUGGGCGUAAAGCGUGCGCAGGCGGUUCGGAAGAAGAUGUGAAAUCCCAGAGCUUAACUUUGGAACUGCAUUUUUAACUACCGAGCUAGAGUGUGUCAGAGGGAGGUGGAAUUCCGCGUGUAGUGAAAUGCGUAGAUAUGCGGAGAACACCGAUGGCGAAGCCAGCCUCCUGGGAUAACACUGACGCUCAUGCACGAAAGCAUUAAGGGAGCAAACAGGAUUAGAUAUACCCUGGUAGUCCACGCCUAAACGAUGUCAACUAGCUGUUGGGGCCUUCGGGCCUUGGUAGCGCAGCUAACGCGUGAAGUUGACCGCACAAGAGGUACGGUCGCAAGAUUAAAACUCAAAGGAAUUGACGGGGACCCGCACAAGCGGAUGAUGUGGAUUAAUUCGAUGCAACGCGAAAAACCUUACCUACCCUUGACAUGUGGAAUCCCGAGAUUUGGGAGUGCUCGCAAGAGAACCGGAACACAGGUGCUGCAUGGCUGUCGUCAGCUCGUGUCGUGAGAUGUUAGGUUAAGUCCGCAACAGGCGCAACCCUUGUCAUUAGUUGCUACGAGGAGCACUCUAAUGAGACUGCCGGUGACAAACCGGAGGAAGGUGAGGACGUCAGAUCUCAUGGCCCUUAUGGUGGGGAUUCACACGUCAUGCAAUGGUCGGGACAGAGGGUCGCCAACCCCGCGAGGAGCCAAUCGAAACCCGAUCGUAGUCCGGAUCGCAGUCUGCAACUCGACUGCGUGAAGUCGGAAUCGCUGGUAAUCAUGGCGGAUCAGCAUGUCGCGGUGAAUGCGUUCCCGAGGUCUUGUACACACCGCCCGUGCACCAUGGGAGUGGGUUUUACCAGAAGUAGUUAGCCUAACCGUAAGGAGGGCGAUUACCACGGUAGGAUUCAUGACUGGGGUGAAGUCGUAAUAAAGGUAA
rnacentral:rRNA from 1 species